ACCCCAGCCUCGGAAUUAGGUACCCAGCAGCGAUUGUCACUUUGUCUCUAUUUGUUUCUUCGGUCCCUUAAAUAUUAAGUCGAUAACAAACACCACCACCAUCAUCAUCAUCAUCAUCAUCAACAACAUCUCUGCUUUCUCGCUAAUCUCGCCAAGGAGCUUCCUGCACGUAUUCAUUUAUUAUAUAUCACAACGGUCAUGGGGCUAUCAGGAUUGCUUAAUCAUCCAUUAAACACACUUUCUUCACCAUCAUCUUUUCAUAACAGAAUGGCAAUGGUUUCCGUAGCAACUAACCUUACCUGGAGCCCUUGUUUUGAUCAUUGCAAGAAUUAUUAUAACAAAAUAAUCUUAUCCAGAAUAAACCAUAGAGGCUUCUCUUCAAUUAGUCGAUUUCGAGUUUAUUGUGAAUCCGAGAUAGAGAAAAAGGAGGAAAAGAAAGUGAAAAGGUGUUCACCUUAUUUGGAGAAGGCAUUGCUUAGAAGUAACGGCGAGUUGGUCCCUGAUGAGUGGAAAGCAGUUCCUGAUAUUUGGAGAACUUCAGCUGAGAAAUAUGGUGAUAGGGUUGCAUUGGUUGAUCCAUAUCACGACCCACCUACCAAUUUCACUUAUAAUCAGUUGGAGCAGGAAAUUUUAAAUUUUUCUGAAGGUUUAAGAAUUAUUGAAGUAAAGCCAAAUGAGAAAAUUGCUCUUUUUGCUGAUAAUUCUUGUCGAUGGCUUGUAGCAGAUCAAGGUAUAAUGGCUAUGGGAGCGAUUAAUGUUGUGAGGGGAUCAAGAUCGUCUGUUGAAGAGCUAUCACAAAUAUACAAUCAUUCUGAAAGUGUUGCACUUGUUGUGGACAGUCCUGAAUUGUUCAAUCGAAUUGCAGAAACACUAUGUUCCAAUGCAGUUAUCACAUUUAUCAUUCUACUUUGGGGAGAGAAAUCAGGCUUGGAUAUUAAAGGAAUGGAUGGCAUACCUGUUUUUAAUUACAAACAGAUUGUAGACUUGGGACGAGAGAGCCGUAAAGUUCUGCUUGAUUCAGAUGAUGCUUGGCGACAAUAUGUGUAUGAAACAAUAAGCUCAGAUGAUGUUGCUACACUCGUUUAUACUAGCGGAACCACAGGAAAUCCAAAAGGAGUCAUGCUUACGCAUAAGAAUUUGUUGCACCAGAUAAAUAAUCUAUUGGACGUUGUUCCUGCUGAACCUGGGGAUAGAUUUCUAAGCAUGCUACCACCUUGGCAUGCGUAUGAGCGUGCUUGUGAGUAUUUCAUAAUGACGCUCGGAGUUGAGCAAGUAUUCACAACUGUGAGAAAUUUAAAGGAAGACCUUAAGCAUUAUCAGCCACAUUACAUGAUCUCUGUUCCUUUAGUAUACGAGACACUUUACAGCGGGAUACAGAAGCAGAUCUCCACAAGUUCCACUAUCCGUAAGCUUGUUGCACUUACAUUCAUAAGGGUCAGCUUGGCAUACAUGGAGUUCAAGAGAAUUUAUGAGGGAACCUAUUUGACCAGGAUUCAGAAGCAACCUUCAUAUCUCAUUUCACUAUUGGACUGUCUAUGGGCAAGAAUCAUGGCUGCAAUCUUGUUGCCAGUGCAUAUGUUGGCUAAGAAGCUCGUUUACCGUAAAAUUCAUUUAGCUAUUGGAAUUAGCAAGGCUGGCAUAAGUGGUGGUGGCAGUUUACCUAUGCAUGUUGAUAAGUUUUUUGAGGCAAUUGGCGUAAAAGUGCAGAAUGGGUAUGGUAUGACAGAGUCAUCUCCAGUUACUGCUGCCCGACGACCUACUUGUAAUGUUCUUGGCUCAAUUGGGCAUCCGAUUCGGCACACAGAGUUUAAAGUGGUAGAUGCUGAAACUGAUGAAGCUUUUCCAGAUGGCUCAAAAGGGAUUGUGAAAGUUAAGGGGCCGCAAGUGAUGAAAGGUUACUACAAGAAUCAUUUGGCCACAAAGCAAGUGUUAGAUGAGGAAGGUUGGCUAAAUACUGGUGACAUAGGUUGGAUUGCUCCUCACCACUCAAUCGGGCGAAGCCGCCAUUGUAGUGGUGUUGUUGUCUUGGAGGGACGUGCUAAGGAUACCAUAGUUCUUUCAACAGGUGAAAACGUUGAGCCCUCGGAGAUUGAGGAAGCUGCUAUGAGAAGUGCCCUAAUUCAACAGAUCGUUGUCAUUGGUCAGGAUCAACGUCGUCUUGGAGCUAUAAUUGUUCCGAACAAAGAAGAGGUGCUGCUAGCUGCAAAAAAGUUGUCCAUUAUAGAUGCCAACACCUCUGAGCUGAAGAAGGAGCAAAUGGCGAGCAUGCUAGAUGAGGAACUUAGGAAUUGGACAUCAGGUUGUUCAUUUAAGGUUGGACCAAUACUCACUAUAGAUGAGCCUUUUACGAUUGAAAGUGGCUUGAUGACCCCAACCAUGAAAAUCAGAAGGGACAGAGUCAUGGACCAAUACAGAGAGCAGAUAGCCAAUCUCUACAAGUAGUUCAGAUGCAAAGAAAGAUACAUGAGAUAGAAUAACUAAAGAAAGGGCCUUUGUAUAUGGUCACAAGAAAAUAACCUGUUCCCAGUUUUGACACUUCGUAUAAGCAGUAACUCAGAUUGAAGCUCUGGGGCAUCUUCAGAUUUAGGUUUUGUUCCUUCGAUGAUUAUAGUACCAAGCACUUCUCAGCGAGCUUUAAUAUGACCAGAUUUGCUCAUUAAAUUGAUAUGAUCAGAUAUAUAAAAGUUGAAAGAAGCAAUUGUUUUGCACGAAAUCAAGUACUGCCGCCCUCGUGAGUUUAACGGUGCCCCAGCGACCUAUAUGUUUUCCUUCCUCUCAAAAGGGCAGAAGCUCGCAGCUUAGAGGUGCCCCCGCAACUAAAGAACUCUUGCUCCCUCGUAAAGAAGUUGCCUCUAUUUGGAGAGCAUCUCUCGAAUAACAAAAGUACUUUGAUUGUGAAAUAAAAAGCCUUUGCAUCUUAAUAUCA